CUGUGUUAUUUCCAACAAAACAUGCAAAUUUUCAUCAUUGAGAGUACAACUUUUUCUUUUGAAAGUACAUUUAGUACACACUAAAGAUUUGGCUGGAAAUGUAAUUCAGGUUUAAACUUCACCCAAAAGCAUCCAAAGACUAACAAAAUUCUUACUUGUCCCUUGACAGCUUCGAUUUCAUUCUGAAGUCUGCUGAUCAUGCGGUUGAGCUCAGCAAUCUCCUGCUUGGUGUUGCGAAGGUCGUCUCCGUAUUUGCCGGCAGAUGACUGCAUCUCCUCGAACUAGGUGGUGAAAAGAGAGUCAUUGUGAUUAGGAUCUGUCAGUUGAUUGCGUUAAAAUAAUGUUGGUUUGAUGCUUGAAUGUAUUUUCUCACCUUCUGUUUGUACCACGACUCGGCCUCAGCACGGCUGCGGUUGGCGAUGUCCUCAUACUGUGCACGGACCUCAGCAACAAUGGAAUCCAUGUCCAGGCUGCGACUGUUGUCCAUUUCAACAAUAACUGAUGUGUCUUUAAUCUGUGACUGGAGUUCACGCAGCUCCUAAAAUUGCAAGGUGAAUGUUUGAGAUAAACCUAAUAUUGAAAAUUGGCAUCUCAGUGGUAAUAUAGUUUCAUCAAACUCUCACCUCCUCAAAGAUGGCCCUGAGGAAGUUAAUUUCAUCUUGAAGAGAAUCAAGCUUGGCCUCAAGCUCAACCUUGUUCAUGUAGGCGGCAUCAACAUCCUAUGAAGACAUGUAAAGAGCUCAAUAUAGUAUGUGGCCUUUACAGAUGUACAAUGAAAAGAAAUGCAACUAUAACUAGAAAAUCAAGACAGCAGCCAAGUGUUUUACCUUCUUGAGCAGGACAAAUUCGUUUUCCACUGAGGCACGCUUGUUGAUUUCAUCCUCAUAUCUGCAAAGAUAAGUUUUCUGCUUUAGCAUAUUGUGCUAAUUAUACCAUGCACACAAAGUGUAAUUCAUAGAGUAUAAAUCUGCUCUUGCACAGCCACUCACUUGUUCUUGAAGUCCUCUACCAAGUUCUGCAUGUUCUUCAGCUCUCCUUCUAGCUUCAUCUUCUCAUUACCAAGUCCGUCAAGCUGUCUGCGCAGGUUGGCGAUAUAGGCCUCGAACAUGGCGUCGAUGUUGGAGCGGGUGGUGGUCUGGUCCUGCAGUAAACUCCAUUUUGUCUCAAGUACUUUGUUCUUAAUCUGCUCUUUCUCCUGGGUGCGGACAACUUGGAUGUUGGGGUCGAUUUCUAGGUUCAGUGGGGCUAGGAGGCUCUGGUUGACUGUGACAGCUGUGAUGGGUGCCAUACCACCAGGGAACCCUCCACCUAGACCAAAUCCUGAACCACCGCCAUAUCCUGCACCACCACCGAAUCCUGCACCACCGCCGAAUCCUGAACCACCGCCGAAUCCUGCACCACUGCCAUAACCUCCUCCGAGACCGCCUCCAUAGCCUCCGCCGCCAAUGCUGUAGCCGAAGCUUGCUCCAGAUCCUCCGCCAAAGCCGCUGCCAAAGCCACCGCCGCCGCCGCCUCCACCGCCACUGCGACGGUAUGACACAGUGCUCACCCUGCUGCCAAUGGGUACUGCACUGGCAGACAUACUAGAGAAGGACUGCCUCAUGCCUCCACCAAAGCCACCGCUCAAGCUUCCACCGCCGGUACUGUAGGUAGUGGUUUUGACCGAUUUCAUGUUUGCUGUUAUCUAUGUAGGGGUUAGGAUCAGACAGAGAAAGAACAGGAUGAGACAGAGAGAUCCAGAGCAGGCAAGCUCACUAAGAGGUGAGUUAAAAU
ensembl:lncRNA